UACGGGGGGAGCAAGCGUUGUUCGGAUUUACUGGGCGUAAAGGGUGCGUAGGCGGCGCGGUAAGUCGGGUGUGAAAUCUCGGAGCUUAACUCCGAAACUGCAUUCGAUACUGCCGUGCUUGAGGACUGGAGAGGAGACUGGAAUUUACGGUGUAGCGGUGAAAUGCGUAGAUAUCGUAAGGAAGACCAGUGGCGAAGGCGGGUCUCUGGACAGUUCCUGACGCUGAGGAGCGAAAGCAUGGGGAGCGAACAGG
rnacentral:rRNA from 1 species